UACAGAGGCCUCGAGCGUUAGGCGGAAUCACUGGGCUUAAAGCGUGUGUAGGCGGACUUCUAAGUACCUUGUGAAAUCCCACGGCUUACCCGUGGAACGGCUGGGUAUACUGGUUGUCUUGAGCCACUUAGGGGCUACCGGAACAAAUGGUGGAGCGGUGAAAUGCGUAGAUAUCAUUUGGAACGCCAAUGGUGAAGACAGCUCGCUGGGGGUGUACUGACACUGAGACACGAAAGCCAGGGGAGCAAACGGG
rnacentral:rRNA from 1 species